CCAAAACGAUCGAAGCUUCCUUCCCUCUCCCCCUACCAGUCCACCCGCUCGACCCCGCGGACCUAGGGUUCGCGCCGCCAGCCGGCGACCCCGCCACGUCCCGUGCGCCGGUGACCACGCCCCGUCCCGUCCGCCGCUGCCCCGUACCGUCGCCGGCGACCCGUCGCGUCCGCCGCCGCCCCGUACCGUCGCCCGCCCCGCCCCGUACCGUCGCCCGCCCCGCCCCGUCAGUUUCUGUCAAGAUGGGGUUGUCUUCGGCCGCUGAGAUCGACGGGGCGCAGCUGUGCAUCUUCGACCUGAGGAGAGGGCAGCAGGAGGGGCAGGAGCUCGACAAGAUCCUCUUCUUCCACCCGGCUGACUGCCCCAUCCUGCUCCAGCUCUCCGUCAUUGGCCUCUGCGAAGGAAUCAUCACUUUCACAAGAAUAUUUUCUCCAGAAGAUGACUGUGAGGUGAUAGAAUCUGAUAAACACUGCCACGUUUUUUACCAAGCUGAGCCAGAUAUUUGGAUGGUUCUGGUGGUGCAGAAAAUUAAGGACAAUGAAUCAACUUUGCGCUUUGGUGCAUUGCAAGGAAUACUAAAAGAAUCUCAUUCACUUUUCGCAAUGUUUCAUGGACCAAUUCGAACUUUACUUGACAGACAACCAAGUGCUGAAUUUGCCCGUGGUCACCUCCAUACAUUUGUCACAGAUUAUUUGAGCGAUUUUAGUGUUGGCAAAAAGCUACAAUUGCCAACCUACCGUGAUAGCCUAACGGAGCGGGGAACAGUCCAAAUGCUAACAGUCUCACGAGAAGUGGCACUUGAAGUUCAGUCACUCACCACAGUUCUUGGGUCAUGUCUUCGAAACGUAAUCUGCCAAUCAAUUGUAUUAUUUGAGGACCUCUUGGUGUCUACAACACUUCCCCUGGAUGAUACGUUAAACCUAUACACUUAUGCAAUCCUGCGGUUGACUCCUAGUGCUUUAUCUUCCAACGGGAAUUCAUGGUCCUAUUUGCGGAAAGGGGGUUAUGUUAAUGCUGACACCACUUUAAGUUCGGCAAAUGGAGCAGCUGCAGCAGAAAGGUACAAUAGUCGAUCUCGUGACACUUCUCCUGGUGGACAAAAUCAGAUGCACCAUAAUUUCAGGCCUCUUCAGCGUGAGAAAUUGUCCAAGGGAAAAGAUGGUUUUGUUGCUGCUGACUUUGCAACUACAGAAAUUCGUGGUGCUGUACCGUUGAAUCCAAUACUGUGGUUCCAUCAGGCAGAGGAGCGCAUGUAUUUAUGUGUUUAUCAGCAUAAGAACCUUACUAUCUUGCUAGUGAUUCCAGCUUCCUCACUGAUAAAUGGAGAAGAGGGUAUUGCUCAUGUGAAGAGGCAUCUUCUUGAAAAUGCCUCACAGAACAUUGUCACUGUUGAACAAAAAUUAUCACGAGGAUGGGGAGGAGAAAAUGCCUAUCAUGUCGGUGGAUACCGUUAUAUACUCUCUGAUCCAAACAGAAAAGUAUCAAGAGCCUCCCCACCUGGGAAAGUCAUCACCCUGUCAAAGGAUUCUCUACUUGCCCUCAACAGGCUAAGAGGAGAAAUAGAUCUAGAGAAGUCAAGAGCUAAGAGGAGUGACCCUACCCAUGACAAGGAUUAUGAAGUAUGCAUCAGAGCGAAAAAUAAUGCAUGGAUUAUUGCUAAAAUUUCUCGAGGAAAAGAACUCUAUAUGGCUAUAGAGAAGGGCGGCGAAACACUUCUCUAUGCAUCUACAGCUGUUGAGAAAUUUAGCAACAGGUAACUUGUUGCUAUGCAUCUCUGAUUGGGAUGAGGAAUAGUGUACAUGCUCUGUUGAGCAGGUAUCCGAACUGAAGUUGUGACUAAGAAGUACUCCCUAUGUUCCUAAAUGUACUGCGAGGGAGCAUUCUCUGCGGACUAAAAGCACCAGCACCAGCAUGAUUCCCACGAUCCAGUCCAGCACUGCACAUGGUUGUCAACUGGAUCACUCCCUAAUGUGUGUAAUUGAUGUCGAUCUCACUCAUGCAAUAACUGGAUCCAUACCAGUUGUACAGCUGCCCUUUGGAAUAAAAUUAUGCAGAGCAGGAACCAGCAUGUUCUGCCUCUAGGUUCUGCGGCCUUAUGGGAUACAGUACUUAGGAACAUUCUCAUUUCUAUCUGAUGUUAAAAAAAGAAGAUCAUUUCGAUCUGUAAAUGCCGACGGAGGACUGCUAACUCGUAUAUGUGUUACGGGCCAGUUCUCUUGCGCUUGUAGAUGGCUUACCUUGGAAAUUAAGCCUCCUUCAGAAAAAGAAAACUUGGAAAUUAAGGCCAAGCUUGAAAGAACUUGUCUUUUCAGGGUAAAAGAAAUAACUUAUUUU